AAUCUGCGCAAAAUAAAAAGGAGAAAAGUGAAAAUUUUAGCAUCCAAUAAAUAAAGUUUCAUUAAGCUGUAACGUAAGUUUCUUCUUCCAGCUUUUAUUCAAAUCAAAUACAUGAUACAAUAUAUCUUUGAUUAAGAUCAUCGUGCGUUUGAUCAAAGAGAAUAAGACAAAGAGAACUUACGUUACAACUUAAUAUUACCUAGUAAUAAUUAAUAAUCGUGACGAUGAAACCGCUUCUUGAUGAUUUGCAUUCUGCAAAGCGCGGGCAGGAGACGUCGGCACGAUCGAGUCAUCGAUGCUUUUAUGAAAACAUGUUUUCCUCGUGUUGUCGUCAUCAAGGUGUCCUCCUAGCUUUAUGCAUGCAUCGAAAAUUGAAGAAACUGCAAGAGACUAUCUCACGAGCCGGUGAUCGAGAUACGUCGCAUAAUUUGCCGGUAGCAUUGUCCUUGAGAAACUAUAUACGUUUCGCCAUCGUGCAGUUACCUUAAUCGCGACUUCGCGGCGCGCUCUAGUUCUCCAGGAAAGAGGAUAAAAGACUAUCAAUUUUCAAAUAUCUGCUCAUUUUCGAGGAUUGUACGCGGCAUUAAGCGUUUCUUAAGCAUGAACGCCGAUUAUUCUGCCGCAAGUUUGAAAGGCAUGCGAGCAACGCGAUCUCAGAAUCCGAGAAAUUCCUGAUUUAAACAUUCCACUCGUGGCAGCAACUGGUCGAGAGGCACACACAUGACGUAGCCUUCAGUGAACGCAAAUCAGAUAGCAGAUUCUUCGGAUUACAAAAGCAACAUAAAAAAAA
rnacentral:lncRNA from 1 species